rnacentral:rRNA from 1 species
GAUGAACGCUGGCGGCGUGCCUAAUACAUGCAAGUCGAGCGAAUAGAUGAGGAGCUUGCUCCUCUGACGUUAGCGGCGGACGGGUGAGUAACACGUGGAUAACCUACCUAUAAGACUGGGAUAACUUCGGGAAACCGGAGCUAAUACCGGAUAAUAUAUUGAACCGCAUGGUUCAAUAGUGAAAGACGGUUUUGCUGUCACUUAUAGAUGGAUCCGCGCCGCAUUAGCUAGUUGGUAAGGUAACGGCUUACCAAGGCAACGAUGCGUGGCCGACCUGAGAGGGUGAUCGGCCACACUGGAACUGAGACACGGUCCAGACUCCUACGGGAGGCAGCAGUAGGGAAUCUUCCGCAAUGGGCGAAAGCCUGACGGAGCAACGCCGCGUGAGUGAUGAAGGUCUUCGGAUCGUAAAACUCUGUUAUUAGGGAAGAACAAAUGUGUAAGUAACUAUGCACGUCUUGACGGUACCUAAUCAGAAAGCCACGGCUAACUACGUG